rnacentral:rRNA from 1 species
UACGUAGGGCGCAAGCGUUAUCCGGAAUUAUUGGGCGUAAAGAGCUCGUAGGCGGUGUGUCGCGUCGGUCGUGAAAACUUGGGGCUUAACUCUGAGCUUGCGGUCGAUACGGGCAUCACUUGAGUUCGGCAGGGGAGACUGGAAUUCCUGGUGUAGCGGUGAAAUGCGCAGAUAUCAGGAGGAACACCGGUGGCGAAGGCGGUUCUCUGGGAAUGACCUGACGCUGAGGAGCGAAAGUGUGGGGAGCGAACAGG